rnacentral:lncRNA from 1 species
CAUAUAUCCAAAAAUAAUUAUAUGAGGAUUUCUUGGGAGAUUUCUACCUUCAAGAGGAACAAACAAACAAACAAUAUCAAUUUAAUUGUAAACCACUAGAUGCUGUUAUUCACAAACCAGUGAGGCUUGCUUUCCUAACUAGUUUGGUUCAUUUCUAUUGCUGAACAACAUGCCAGGUGUUUUACAAUAUAAUGAGGCAUUAUUGGGCUUCUCUAAUUAAACACUGUAAAUGAGAAAUAUUUCAGGUGCCAUUUUACAUUAAAAGAACUCUCACAAAAUCUAAGGAGGUGAAAGUGGUAAAGUAAUUAUGAAAUUUAAUAAGAAUGGUCAAUGUUAGAAAAAGUACAGUAUUGACACAAUAACAAUUAGCAGCAUUUAGGUGUUACUGUUCAGAUAUUAUCUGUCAGUUUUGGAGAUGUUUAUAUUUCCACAUUUUCCUUCGCGAUGCUACUGAAUGAACCAGGUUUCAUUUUUGCUAGAAGGAAUAUAACUAUGGGGCCCCUUUCUGCAGUAUAACAGGUAGGACUGUGUGGUGUUGUGGUAUUAUAAAUUCUCCUUCUGUGGAAGUCAAAACAAGAAGGUAGUACAACUUGUGGCCAGCCACCACUUCAUUGACAAGGCCACUCAGUCUGAUAAAAUGUAGAUAUCUACAUUCAAAAGAAGGAGUCAGAGAGUCUGCUUUCCAUCACUGCUUAACUCUGAUGGCCAGAAUGAAAACAGAAAUACAUUCUGUUAUUCAAAUCUUUUGGAGAACUGCCUAGCAGAAAAGGUGUCCUGUUCUUGGGAAGAAUGGAGAGAAGAUAACUCCAAAAGAGUCCAGAAGUUAGGUGAAGAGACUUUCCACCUCACUGUCAAGGAGAGACUUGUUUUCCUUCACCUUCCUAUUGGGGACAUUGAAGAGACACAGGAGGCCUCAGAGAGACACGUUUCUUACACUUCCUAGCAGUCGUGGUAGAACUAGUAAUCUCUCAUUCUAUUUGGUUAUUGUAUGUAACAAAACAAUUAUUUGCAAGGGCAUUGGAAGUUAUUCAAAACUGGUAAGAAAACAGCUCAAACUGAUCACUGAACUAGUGCAGACAGUUUAAAAAAUUGUCAUUGUAAUAACAACUAUAAUAAUUUUAAAAUUAAUUGAGAUUCAGG